rnacentral:piRNA from 1 species
CAUCUUGGUUGUUUUCUGUCUAGGC